UACAGAGGGUGCAAGCGUUGUUCGGAAUUAUUGGGCGUAAAGCGCGUGUAGGCGGCUUUGCAAGUCGGGUGUGAAAGCCCUCAGCUCAACUGAGGAAGUGCGCCCGAAACUGCAUGGCUUGAGUACCGGAGAGGAUGGUGGAAUUCCCGAAGUAGAGGUGAAAAUUCGUAGAUAUCGGGAGGAACACCGGUGGCGAAGGCGACCAUCUGGACGGAUACUGACGCUGAGACGCGAAAAGCGUGGGUAGCAAACAGGA
rnacentral:rRNA from 1 species